rnacentral:pre_miRNA from 1 species
AGUGAAAUUGCUGGGUCAUAUGGUAAAUGCAUAUUCUACUUUGUAAGGAAUUGUCAAACUGUUUUACAAAGUAUUUAUGCCAUGUUACAUUUCUACAAGCAAU